GACGAACGCUGGCGGCGUGCCUAAUACAUGCAAGUAGAACGCUGAAGGAGGAGCUUGCUUCUCUGGAUGAGUUGCGAACGGGUGAGUAACGCGUAGGUAACCUGCCUGGUAGCGGGGGAUAACUAUUGGAAACGAUAGCUAAUACCGCAUAAGAGUAGAUGUCGCAUGACAUAUGCUUAAAAGGUGCAAUUGCAUCACUACCAGAUGGACCUGCGUUGUAUUAGCUAGUUGGUGAGGUAACGGCUCACCAAGGCAACGAUACAUAGCCGACCUGAGAGGGGGGUCGGCCACACUGGGACUGAGACACGGCCCCGACUCCUGCGGGAGGCAGCAGUAGGGGAUCUUCGGCAAUAGACGGAAGUCUGACCGAGCAACGCCGCGUGAGUGAAGAAGGUUUUCGGAUCGUAAAGCUCUGUUGUAAAAGAAGAACGAGUGUGAGAGUGGAAAGUUCACACUGUGACGGUAUCUUACCAGAAAGGGACGGCUAACUACGUG
rnacentral:rRNA from 1 species